rnacentral:hammerhead_ribozyme from 1 species
UCACUGCUGAGGAAUCCCACAACAGGACGAAACGGCCGUCCAGUGC